rnacentral:lncRNA from 1 species
UUUAAGAUCAUGAAUCACUGUGUAAUAUUGGUUAAAUGAAAUUUAAGUUAACGUUUAAGAUUUGUUAAUGUCAAAGUAAGUAAUACACAAAAAAUUAUUAUCAUUCCUUAAUACUUUACAUCACAUACCAUAUAAGGGGGAAAGGUAAGGGAAGACACCUUACUAGUCUUAGGUGUAGGUUAAGCUAUUAAAUAAUUCUUAUUGAGUACGUGUAACUUACCAUUUU